CCCUUUGUAGCUCAGUUGGAUUAGAGCAUCGGACUGUAAUGUAACGCAAACCAUCCGGGGGCCCCGGUUCGAUUCCGGGCGAAGGGA
rnacentral:tRNA from 2 species